rnacentral:rRNA from 1 species
CCUACGGUGAGCAGCAGUGGGGAAUAUUGCACACUGGGGGAAACCCUGAUGCAGCGAAGCCGCGUGAGUGCGGAAGUAUUUCGGUAUGUAAGGCUCUAUCAGCAGGGAAGAAAAUGACGGUAACUGACUAAGAAGCCCCGGCUAACUACGUGCCAGCAGCCGCGGUAAUACGUAGGGGGCAAGCGUUAUCCGGAUUUGCUGGGUGUAAAGGUAGCGUAGACGGCUAAUCAAGUCAGAAGUGAAAACCCAGGGCUCAACUUUGGGACUUCUUUUGAAACUGCGUAGCUAGAGUGCAGGAGAGGUAAGCGGAAUUCCUAGUGUAGCGGGGAAAUGCGUAGAUAUUAGGAGGAACACCAGUGGCGAAGGCGGCUUACUGGACUGUAACUGACGUUGAGGCUCGAAAGCGUGGGGAGCAAACAGGAUUAGAUACCCUUGUAGUC